rnacentral:rRNA from 1 species
AAUCAACGCUGGCGGCGUGCCUCAGACAUGCAAGUCGAACGCGAAAGUUUCCUUCGGGAGAUGAGUAGAGUGGCGCACGGGUGAGUAACACGUGAGUAAUUUACCUUCGGGUGGGGAAUACUAACCGGAAACGGUUGUUAAUACCGCAUAAUGCAGCGGCAUCAAUGAUGACAGUUGUUAAAGCGGGGGAUUGGAGCAAUCCGACCUCGCGCCUGAAGAGAAGCUCGCGGCAGAUUAGCUAGUUGGUAAGGUAAUGGCUUACCAAGGCGACGAUCUGUAACCGGCCUGAGGGGGCGGUCGGUCACACUGACACUGAAUAACGGGUCAGACUCCUACGGGAGGCAGCAGUCGGGAAUUUUUGGGCAAUGGGCGCAAGCCUGACCCAGCAACGCCGCGU